UUCCGUAGGUGAACCUGCGGAGGGAUCAUUACACAAAUAUGAAGGCGGGCUGGAACCUCUCGGGGUUACAGCCUUGCUGAAUUAUUCACCCUUGUCUUUUGCGUACUUCUUGUUUCCUUGGUGGGUUCGCCCACCACUAGGACAAACAUAAACCUUUUGUAAUUGCAAUCAGCGUCAGUAACAAAUUAAUAAUUACAACUUUCAACAACGGAUCUCUUGGUUCUGGCAUCGAUGAAGAACGCAGCGAAAUGCGAUAAGUAGUGUGAAUUGCAGAAUUCAGUGAAUCAUCGAAUCUUUGAACGCACAUUGCGCCCUUUGGUAUUCCAAAGGGCAUGCCUGUUCGAGCGUCAUUUGUACCCUCAAGCUUUGCUUGGUGUUGGGCGUCUUGUCUCUAGCUUUGCUGGAGACUCGCCUUAAAGUAAUUGGCAGCCGGCCUACUGGUUUCGGAGCGCAGCACAAGUCGCACUCUCUAUCAGCAAAGGUCUAGCAUCCAUUAAGCCUUUUUUCAACUUUUGACCUCGGAUCAGGUAGGGAUACCCGCUGAACUUAAGCAUAUCAAUAAGCGGA
rnacentral:rRNA from 1 species